AUUGAACGCUGGCGGCAGGCCUAACACAUGCAAGCGAGCGGAAACGAUCCUAGCUUGCUAGGAGGCGUCGAGCGGCGGACGGGUGAGUAACGCGUGAGAAUCUACCCAUGAGUGGGGGACAACCCGGGGAAACUCGGGCUAAUACCGCAUACGCCCUACGGGGUAAAGCAGGGGACCUUCGGGCCUUGCGCUGAUGGAUGAGCUCGCGUCGGAUUAGCUUGUUGGUGAGGUAAAGGCUCACCAAGGCGACGAUCCGUAGCUGGUCUGAGAGGAUGAUCAGCCACACUGGGACUGAGACACGGCCCAGACUCCUACGGGAGGCAGCAGUGGGGAAUAUUGGACAAUGGGGGCAACCCUGAUCCAGCCAUGCCGCGUGUGUGAAGAAGGCCUUCGGGUUGUAAAGCACUUUCAGCAGGGAGGAAGGCUUACCCCUAAUACGGGUGAGUACUUGACGUUACCUGCAGAAGAAGCACCGGCUAAUUUCGUG
rnacentral:rRNA from 1 species